rnacentral:rRNA from 1 species
AUUGAACGCUGGCGGCAGGCCUAACACAUGCAAGUCGAGCGAGCGGCGGACGGGUGAGUAAUGUAUGGGGAACUGCCUGAUGGAGGGGGAUAACUACUGGAAACGGUAGCUAAUACCGCAUACCAUCAGAUGAACCCAUAUGGGAUUAGCUUGUAGGUGGGUUAACGGCUCACCUAGGCGACGAUCCCUAGCUGGUCUGAGAGGAUGAUCAGCCACACUGGGACUGAGACACGGCCCAGAGUCCUACGGGAGGCAGCAGUGGGGCAUAGUGCAAAAUGGGAGAAAGCCUGAUAAAGCCAUGCCGCGUGUAUGAAGAAGGCCUUCGGGUUGUAAAGUACUUUCAGUCGGGAGGCGUUACCGGCAGAAGAAGCACCGGCUAACUCCGUGCCAGCAGCCGCGGUAAUUC